AGAUUUGAACUCAGGUCCUCCUGACUCCAGGGCCGGUGCUCUAUCCACUGAGCCACCUAGCUGCCCCUCCGCCAUCACUUUAACAAAAUGUUUUUCCCAUAACAAUUUUGGGGAGAGGCAUUACAGGUUUCCACAUCACAGUCUUCUUUCUACUAACCAUACCGCCUUAAAAAGGCCCAAGGCCAACAGCAACAACUAAGGGAGCAGGAAUAGGCCAGCCAUUGGGCAUCAGCAGAAGGGACCAGGACUGAUGCUGAGAUGACAGCUGCUGCCUUGGCUUCGAUGCCUCCAUUGUCUUCUCCCCCAGCAUGCUCCUUGAAGGGAGCAACUGUCUUUCCUUGGAUCAUCACAAGAGCUUAAUGAAUGUCUGUUGAUCGGCUGAUCGACUGAUCCUGCCUCCAUGAAGAAUAGAGAACUGGGGGGUCGGAAGACUUCCAGGAAUUUCAUGACAGCAGCAACGUGGGAGUUGCGUCCUAUGAUGGCUCAGGACCAAGCCUGCCUCAGCUCAGUUUCCAAGGUGGCUGCUGCUGAGAGAAGGAGGGAGAUGACUCCAUUGCUGUCAUUCCAAACAGGCUGGACACAAUGAGAUGAAAUGAACCAACUGUAUUUCCAGAGAAGACCUACCACUUGGUCUCACUCCCCACUAGCAGGUGGAAAGGGAGUAAUUAAAGAGGAGAGAGACUGCGCCAGCCUUUGAUUUAAAAUAGGCUGAUGAGAACAAUUCGUUCCGACUGUCAUGAAAGCGGUGGAAGCCGGCGUUGUGGAGCUUGGUCAGACAUAGAAGACACCAAGGUCAUUCAUUGCCUCCCGAGACAUCGGCGGUCAUCCUGACUUUUGUCCUAACCGCUGGAGGAGAGAGUGGGGUUGAUGACUUCUCAGCUCUGCCCCACUUCGGUCCAAUCAAUUCACACCCAAGUCAAGACGUUACCGCGACGUCAUCGGUCCUCUUUUCAUCUCAGCAUCUGAGAAUCCUUGGUUCCCUUCAGAACUCCAUCCACCUGCCACCUUCAAGAAAAACCGUUUUCUUCAGUCCUUUUAGAUGUUGGUGUCCUUGCUCGCCUAAACACCUUGUGUUCAUUUUGUUUGUAUUACACAACGUGGAUAGAAUGGAAGUUCCCCGAGGGUAGGGACUCAGUUCACUUUUGGUUUCUGGGAUACCUGUCACAUAGAACACACUUAAUAAAUGUUUG